GCGCAACCAGGCCGGAGGAGUGGAGAGAAUGAGAAUGCGGUGGAUUCCAGGUACUGUGGAUGGAUCUUUCUCCUCCCUCCGUCCAGCAGCAGCUGAUCUUUGAUUCUUCCAGUGAUGAACAAGAAUCCAUGGGAGAUGACUCCAGUGUCGCCGGUGCGAAGGAAGAAAGCCCUGGAUCCAUGGAUUUUGGCCUGGAAUGUCUGCGAUGACAAUGCUGGAUCGUUCACAUAGCCGCUUCCCAUGCUUGGAGAGGAAAUCCACACCUCGCCUUCCUCUCCAUCAGGUACUUCUUUGCUUGUCCCUGGAUCCACGACUCUGAGAUUCAUCUCUUGCAGAUCAUCGUGCGCGCUUGAGAUCUUUCCGCUGGGAAGAAGGUCUUGGUACACUGGAAAGUCACCGGAUUUCUUCCAUGCCGUGCACACAAACGUGGAGUUCUCGGCCAGCCCGUAAGAAGGUGCUAUGGAAUCCUUUCUCAGUCCGAAUCUAGAGAAGCUCUUGAGGAAACUAUUCACGCUUGCUGCCAGGAUGGGCUCGUUGACGAGAAUCAAGCUCUCGAGGUGUGACAAAUCCAGUUGCAAAUGCCGAGCUUUGGGAUCUGGAAAUGAGUUAUCCUGGACGAGUUUGGAUUCUACCAGAGGGAGAGCAAAUGCGGGCACCACGGUACAGGUAGCUUUGAAUUUGGAGAGCAUCUCCAGCCAUAGCCAUGGCCUUUUAGAGAAGGAAAAUGGCGAGCUAAGGAAGCUUGUUGCCCCGCAGGUGAUGGUGAGAAGGAUGAACAUGAGGCCACAGUCGUGAUACAGUGGAAGCCACGAGACGAUGAUGCUGGACGGCUGGAGGUCGUAAGCUCUUCUAGCCGCUCGAGCGUUGUGCGCUGCCGCUCCAGCG
rnacentral:lncRNA from 1 species